rnacentral:rRNA from 1 species
GACGAACGCUGGCGGCGUGCCUAAUACAUGCAAGUCGAGCGCUCAAGGUUGGUACUUGUACCAACUGGAUUAGCAGCGAACGGGUGAGUAACGCGUGGGUAAUCUGCCUUUGAGCGGGGGACAACAUUUGGAAACGAAUGCUAAUACCGCAUAAAAACUUUAAACACAAGUUUUAAGUUUGAAAGAUGCAAUUGCAUCCCUCAAUGAUGAUCUCGCGUUGUAUUAGCUAGUUGGUGAGGUAAAGGGCAUACAAGGCGAUGAUAGCUUGCCCACCUGAGAGGGUGGUCGGCCACCUCGGGACUGAGCCACGGCCCAAACUCCCUCGGGAGGCAGCAGGAGGGAAUCUUCGGCAAUUGACGAAAGGCUUACCGGGCCACGCCGCGGGAAGUAAGAAGGUUUUCGGGUCCGAAAAACCCGUUGGUAGAGAAGAACCUUAGUGAGAGUGGAAAGCUCAUAAAUUGACGGUAACUACCCAGAAAGGCACGGCUAACUACGUG